GUCUCCUGACCACCACUGUUGCCCCAACAACAACUACCAGCACCACAACACUUCCUACCCUUUUGACUUCAGUGACAUCAACAACUAGAUUUGGCACAGUGGGGGUAUUUGUUACACUGAUAUUCAAGGUCAAAACACCAGUCCCCACUGAGGAUGAUGUCCUUGGUGCCGUCAAGAAGCAAUUGUCUCCUCAAUUCACGACCACUCAAACCACCUUCCAGAAUGCAACUUAUAUCAAACUUACAGAUACUUCAUUUGCCAUCGACCUUGGUUUCAAAAUAACCAAUGUAACCCAGGAGUCUCUAAGUAAUAGACUCACACUCACCAAUGAGACCGAGAUCCAGGAUUCAAUUAACAGACUACUCCAUAAGGUUCUCAGUGAACCAGACGGCAAACAGUUUCAAUUUCCC